GAGAGCACGAACGGGGGAGGGGCAGAGAGAGAGGGGGAGACAGAAUCUAAAGCAGACUCCAAGCCCUGAGCUGUCAGCACAGAGCCCAACUCGGGGCUCGAACCCAUGAACCACGAGAUCAUGACCUGAGCCGGUCAGAUGCUUAACCGACUGAGCCACCCAGGUGCCCCAAGCACUCCCAUUCUUGACGGGGUGACAGGCACACACGAACACCCUGUGAUUCUCAUGGGAUGCAUGCAGGAGGGCCACGUGGUGACAUCAGACUGGCACCUCAGAAGAAGGGGGACUCCUGCAGGAGCAAACUUACUCCUUAAGUAUUGUUUUAUCUUUAGUCCCUUUAUCUCAGACAUUAUCCCACGGUAGUGUCACCCAUGCCUGUGGUUUCAAUGACAGUUACCCAGUCAGCGUCCCCAGCCUAGCAUGAGGUCCAAGCACAUAUCUGCGGCCACCUGCUAGACAAACGCCCUGAGCUGCACCAACAGCUGGGUCUUCCUGUGUCCAACACUGAGCUAUCAUCUUGGACCCUUCCCCCAAACUGGUCCCCUCCUCUUGUCACACCCACGACUGCAAGAGUGGUCAUCAUCUACCUGGUCAUGAGACCCGCAAGCCGGGAGUCAGCCUGGAUCCCUCCUCUCCCUCUGCUGCCCACAGCCAGUCACCACGCUCUGUUCACCGAGCUUUCUCGGUUUCUCUCCACUGCCACCAUCCCAGCCCAGGACUCAGCCCUGCUGAAGCCUCCCGAUGGAUUCCUCUGCCUUCGGUUUGCCCCACACCCCACUUCAAACCUGUCCUCCACCUUGCCCUCAGACAUAUCUCCUCAAGGCACAAAAGGAGCCCGUUACUCCCCUGCUGAAACCCCUUCAGUCAUUCCCCAGAGCUUUUGAGAACUGCCUGCCCCCGCCCCGGGCUGAGCCGAGUGUCCCCUGUGUCCACUGCUCUCUUGUGGCUCCGAGUGUGCAACGGUGCUGUGCUGGUUCCAGCAGCACGAUCGGAGCUCACAAUGGCCCUGAUGCUUACUAGGGUCUAGAAACGUGAACGAAGUUCCACCGAAAGAAUAUUUAAAAUCAAAGUGGAGGCUGAAAGAAGGAAAGGAUGACCUCCAGGAGCUGGAAGGAAGGAAGGGACAGGAGGCCACUGUGAGAGGGAGGGUCCUGCAGAUGCCAAGGUGAGGACAUGCUGGCUUGAGCAGGAGACCUGUCCACGCGGGCCACAUGGGAGGGGAACUGGGUCUGAGGUCUGGAAUGAGGCUGAGCCCUUGCAGGCUGCCGGAUCCAGAAAAAGGUCACUCGAGCCUACCUUCUAGCCUGGCAAAGUGGGAAGACACACAGUUUUCCAGUAAAGACUGGAACCCUCAAGGUGUCUUCACUAAACCUCUUGAAAAGCAAACCCCGCCAAAGGCAACGAACAAACCUUCAGAACUCCCACAGGGAAAAGACACAUUCCUUGCAAAGGUACAGACCUUUUCAUCAAAUGUGAGAAAAUAAUGAAAACACAGACUCUUCCAAGUGUUUAAGGAAAAUAACCACCAACCUAGAAUCAUUGAGCACGAGGGCAAAAACAAAGACUUUCUCAGACACCAAGGUAAAUUUAAACAAGCAUUCACUGUAUGCAUGUAUGUAUGAAUAAAUAAAUACAACUAACUUUGGGGGUUCAACCCACCACUGAUCUAAAGUCCUGGAAGACAACAACAUGAGAGAUGGGGUGAUGGUCCAAGGGAGGCAUUUGGAGGGCCUUCGUCAUCUGGGAGGAGGGUAGGGACGCUGAUGAACUUUAGAUUUCCUAAGACCUGCACGGGUGUGAAGAAAACUAAUGGUAAACAAGAACGUUCGACGGAAACAUGCAACUCUGGAAGAAGUGGAAGGAAGGGGGAGAGAAACUCUGCCUCACCUAAUGCAAGGCAGAAAACAGGAACCAAAGCAGCCAAGAAGCAACAUGGGUACAAGAAAUCACUAGCGUGGAUGUGCAUACCGAGGCGUGUGAACCCGUUACAAGGGACUUCUCGCAUUUAAUUUAGAAAUGCAGCUACCUGCUAUUUGCAAGAUACCCAUCUAAAUCAUCAUGACAAAGAAAACUUAAAUGAAACCAGACACGAGGCAAAUACGAAUCACAAGAAGGCUGGCAAAAGACGCUGCCAGGAACGAACUCGUUAGACAUGACUGAGAAAGUCGCGGGGAUUCACUGUGACAUACGACACCAACCGGAAGACCCGAGGCCAGCCUGGUGCAUCUUCAAAGCAAUGUUGCUGAGAGGGCAUCACCCACUUUUUGUCUUGACUCCCAUCCCACAUGGAAGGCGUGAUUUUGUCCCCUAAUGGUGAGCAGAAACCACCAGACCUAUGGAUCUUUUGGUUUCCCAUUGGAAACCAGAAGGAAGGAGUUCUGUCCCAAACUACCCUCAUUUCCUGGAGGCCUUUCAAAUGUCUGAUGUGAAGAUGAGUUAAAGCACUACGGGGUUUGGAAGGGACAUCUGAGAACAUACCUGCAGGUGAGACCCCGUUUCCCAAACUGACAGCAGACUCCCAAGGGAAUGGGGCACGGAGCAAGAUGUGAGGCCGAGAGGGGGAGGGACAGGGGAGGACGGGACGACCCGGUACAAAGUCGGUGUGAGGCUAAGGGGCAGUGUGAGGAUGCUAAGGAUAGGGAGACCCAGGAGAAACCCGAGCAGGGGUGCAGAGCUCCUAAAGCCAAGUCCGAUUUAUGCUUUGCGGCUGAGGGGGUCCGGCUUCACCUGUGCGUUCCACUGAGCAACAUCACGCCGCUUGAUGUCCUCACUCUCUCGGGGUCCCCCGAGCCUCCUGGACAACAGCCGGCCCUCACACCACGUCCCCUGCCCACCCGCUGCAUGUGAGAAGGAUGGCCCGGAAGAGAAGGAAGGGAAAGAGCAGGCAGGACCGCAGGGGAGAGAGGGGGUGAGCACAGGGGUGGACCCCUGUUAUACUCUUGCAACUUCAUUUUACAGACAAGGAACUGGGUGCAGGGGGAUGGUGAAUUGUGCACGAUCACUGAGGUGGUGAGUGGUGAAAGCGAAACCCUCACCCGGGCUUCUGCUCUCCGAUUCGGCACCCAUUCAUCCAGUCUCUGGGAGGAAAAGGAAGCACCGGGUCUCACCAAUAACGAAAGGGCGAGAUAAAUGCAAAUCAAACGCAGAAAAACUCUCCACAGGAAACUGAGGAGUCUCUAAAAAACCAGCCCAUUCAGCCUCUGUGACAACGGAACUGGGCAACUGAGCGUCCACACUGCCAGGCAGUGUGCCCUGGGCAAAUUUCUACACCUCUCCAAACACACGCUUCCUUGGUCAUGGAAUGGGGAUCACAGUCGUAUCGCCCUCAUCCAGAUUUUGUGAAGAUCAAAGAGUCAUGAGCCAUGGCAAAGAGCUUUCUUAGCACAGCGCCUGCAGCCUAAGCACUAUUAUGCUUACUACAGGGCUGCUACAAUUGGGUAUAAACCCGUUUCCUUACUGGAAAAAGGCCAUAAAAAAAGUCUGCUGGUGCUUUUCUAUGCAUGGGAAAGUAUAUCUAUUGUUUGGGGAUGGGGGUACUAAAUGGGUAUAUUUUUAAAAUUCCCCAUAAUAAUAAUAAUAAUAAUAAUAAUAAUAAUGAUAAAAGCAUCCUUUUGCUUUUGUCUUGGUGGAGCAUGCUUCCUUCUGACAUCAACUUUUUCUUCUACUGGGGAGAAAGUCCCAGUCUCAAUUUCACAACUAAAAAAAAAAGGGGUUUCUUAGGAAAGUGUCAUAAACACCUCCACCCUAACGGGCUCAGACUAUGAUGGAAACCACGAAGAAGUGACUUACUUCUGUAUUUCAUGACUUUUGUUUUCCUUAGGAAGUCACCUGGACCUGGAUUACAGCUGAGAAGAGGAACUCUUAGUCUGAAAGAGCUCAGACGUCAACGUGUUUUUUCCUCCAUCUGUAAAAUGGGUACAAUGAGGUUCACGCAAUUUGUUCGAGUGGGAAACUGCAAGUUCCCGGUGUUAUGUCCUCGGCUCCUGGGGUGAUACACCUCUGAUCACUGAUCCAAUGGCCCAAAGACAAAUCUCCCUCCCUCUCUCCCUCAUUUCUGUGGCUAUCUCAUUCAGAAACCCAGCUCCUCAAGAAUUUUACAUUCCUGGUUAUUUUUAGACUCAUUUAGUUUGUUCAGACACGGUCACCACAUGGCAUGCAGCUGUGGAAAGCAGCUGCUGUGGUUUGAUUUCUAGUCAAUAUUACUUGACAUUUCUUGUCAGGUGAUUUCUAAAAUUUCUUUCUUUUUUUUUUUUUUUUUUUCCCGGGGGAUCUCAAGACUUUCCCCCCUGGAUUUUGAGGUGCAACAUCACAGCUGUGCAUCUGAGAGCCUGCUCCAGGCUGGGGAUGGGGCCAGAAUCCUGCUAGAAAGGAAGAUUUCUUUCUAUUCUCAGGACCCAAACUUCUCAGCCCCAGAACACUCAGGUCCUGACAGCUUCCUGAAGACCCUCCUCUCAGUUUUGUGCUUUGAGUGAGGGGCUGCUGUCUCCUGGUCUCAGGAAGAAAGGAGGAAGGGUGAGGCAGGUAGCUGGCCUGCCAGGAGCGCCUACCUCAGUGACAAUAGCUACCAUGUACCAGAGGCUGGGUCACUCUGCUGAGGGGAAAGCUGGACCGGAUUGGCUGCAGGCUUCCUCCUGCUCCCCCUUAACAGCUUUUCUCCCCAACAGGUGCUUACCUGCCUUUCUCUGGCUCAUUCAGCCAUCAGUCUCUUGGCUCAGCCCACACACCCAUCCACCACGAUGCUUUUGCCUUUAGGAGUUUUGCACAUUCUGUUCCCACCUGGAAGACUCUGGGUUCUUUUUCCGGACCAACGCUAUUUCUCAUUUGAUUCUCAACAUCAGCAUCCCUUGGGGAGCCUCUCCCGAUCCUCUAAGACAGGGUUAACUCUCUCUUUGAUGCACUUAACACCUCGGACUGUAAUAUUUUUCUUACAAACAGGCCUGUUUAUUCCUCCAGUCUCCCCACUAGACUCUAAACUCCUGGGUGGGCUCAGGUCUUGUCCACAGUUGCACCCCCACUUCCCAGCCCAGCGUCCGGCCUGGCAUACAGCAGGUGCCUGGCAAAUAUGUGCUGAAUAAUGUUCCAGGCUCACCAAGAACUCCCUCCUCCUUUCCCCCCCCCCCCCACCAUGUAUUUUUUAGACUGUGUCGAAUUCUUUGUUCUUCAAAUCACUUCUGUAAUAAGCUUUCUAUUUUAUCACGGCAUCUAUUCAAGUCAAGUCCUUUGUCAGUUCUGAGUUUGACAAAAAUCUUCAAUUGUGCAGGUACGGACAAAAACGUGACGCCGUGUCUGACACAUAAACGAGAAGUGAAAAUCGUGGCUGGAUAACCUGAAAACAGCUAGUGACAUCUGUAUCCUGGCCAUCCUUCCUCAUGAAGCCUUCUUUUUUGUGGGCUGGUAUAUACCUGAGCAAAAUGAAAACAAAUCCACAUGAAAACUUCUACAGGAAUGUUCAUAGCAGCAUUAUUCAUAAUAGCCCCAAAGUGGAAACAACUCAAACGUCCACCAACUGACAAAUGGAUAAACAAAAUCUUUAUCUCUUCCAGAAGCUUCCCCCCUGUAGGCUCCGAAGACCGCCCUAUCCUGGGCUCCAGGUCAGCCGUUGUUCCUCUCAGCUCCCACAGCUGCCGGCACACCUCUGGAUGACGGCGCUUACCAUUCUGGAUGGCAUCUGUCCACCUGCCUCAGGUCUCAUUUGUCUUUACGUGCUCGGGCCCAGCACAGUGACACAGGGAGGUAAUGCUCAAAAAGAGCCGACAGUUUGGGGACAAGAAGGAAUGACUACUUUCUGAAUACUCCCCACAUCAUAAGCACAGUCAGUAAUCCGCCCGGCCCUGGCCCGGACGGAGUCUGCACCUCUCUUGACGCAAAGCGGAUGAGAACAUGGGCCGAGUUGGAGAGGAUGAAGCAGAAAUCCUGACUCUGCCACUUACUAACCACGGGCACCUCUGGCGAGUGACGUGGCCUCUCCAGGUCUCAGUUCUGUCAUCUGAAAAGUGGGGGCAACACCCCUCUCGUGGGGCUCUUAGAGGGCGCAAGGAGAGAGCACAUGUAAAGCAGGUGGCACGGUGGUCAUGUCCGGCAGUCAAGAAACCGCAGCACGUCUCUUUCCUUCUGAAUGUAUUCUGUCCCUGUUAUUGGACUGUGAACACUUUGAGGGGUCAAAUAUUUACCCAACUAAUGGGGAAAUGGGUGUGAGAGGAAUGGAGUACCAUUCUGCUUCCUGCCACCAAGGCGCUCCCGAGGAAUCGUGGCCACUCCCUCACUUGUGUCCCGACCUGGCCCCUAGUUGAUCGACCAGACUGCGGCUGUGUUAUCCUGGCAGCCAGAUGGUACAUUUACAUUAGCAAAGACAGCAAGGUAUGAAAGGUUAAUUAUGAUUCAUUCUUAUUGUGAUACAUUACCUCUCAGUUCAAAUUUUAUAUGCAAUUGACCAAAUGAAUGACACCACUGAUUUCUGAUGGUAUCCACGUGAUUGUUUUUUUUUUUUUUUUGGUUCCAUAUUC